AUUUGCUGGGAUUUGAAUGAAGAAGGGGAUCAUAACGGGAUGAAGACUUGGUUCGGAAGGAUAGUGUCGUGGAUGCUGAUCUUACGAACAGAGGGGAUGCUGUUAAUCCAUGGAAUUCGGGAUGAAGUUGAUCCGGAGGAGAUGUUUGGACUGCGGAAGACGUGGAGGAUCUUAGCUCUGUUGCGAAACAGAGCCCUGUUUGUUGGACCCGGAAGGAACGGGAUGAAGAUGAACACGGAAUGGAGGGGAAGUUUAGAUACUAAUCUAGACUUGUUUCUAUAUGGCUUGGGACUCGCUGGGAGGAAGUUAGAAAGAAAUCUUGGAUGAUGG
rnacentral:lncRNA from 1 species